UACGGGGGGAGCAAGCGUUGUUCGGAUUUACUGGGCGUAAAGGGCGCGUAGGCGGCGUGACAAGUCACUUGUGAAAUCUCCGGGCUUAACUCGGAACGGUCAAGUGAUACUGUCGGGCUAGAGUGCGGAAGGGGCAACUGGAAUUCUCGGUGUAGCGGUGAAAUGCGUAGAUAUCGAGAGGAACACCUGCGGCGAAGGCAAUCCCCUGGGCCUGCACUGACGCUCAUGCACGAAAGCGUGGGGAGCAAACAGG
rnacentral:rRNA from 1 species